AACACAUGCAAGUCGAACGGUAACAGGAAGAAGCUUGCUUCUUUGCUGACGAGUGGCGGACGGGUGAGUAAUGUCUGGGAAACUGCCUGAUGGAGGGGGAUAACUACUGGAAACGGUAGCUAAUACCGCAUAACGUCGCAAGACCAAAAAGGGGGACCUUCGGGCCUCUUGCCAUCGGAUGUGCCCAGAUGGGAUUAGCUAGUAGGUGGGGUAACGGCUCACCUAGGCGACGAUCCCUAGCUGGUCUGAGAGGAUGACCAGCCACACUGGAACUGAGACACGGUCCAGACUCCUACGGGAGGCAGCAGUGGGGAAUAUUGCACAAUGGGCGCAAGCCUGAUGCAGCCAUGCCGCGUGUAUGAAGAAGGCCUUCGGGUUGUAAAGUACUUUCAGCGGGGAGGAAGGGAGUAAAGUUAAUACCUUUGCUCAUUGACGUUACCCGCAGAAGAAGCACCGGCUAACUCCGUGCCAGCAGCCGCGGUAAUACGGAGGGUGCAAGCGUUAAUCGGAAUUACUGGGCGUAAAGCGCACGCAGGCGGUUUGUUAAGUCAGAUGUGAAAUCCCCGGGCUCAACCUGGGAACUGCAUCUGAUACUGGCAAGCUUGAGUCUCGUAGAGGGGGGUAGAAUUCCAGGUGUAGCGGUGAAAUGCGUAGAGAUCUGGAGGAAUACCGGUGGCGAAGGCGGCCCCCUGGACGAAGACUGACGCUCAGGUGCGAAGCGUGGGGAGCAAA
rnacentral:rRNA from 1 species